rnacentral:rRNA from 1 species
AGUGAACGCUGGCGGUAGGCCUAACACAUGCAAGUCGAACGGCAGCACAGUAAGAGCUUGCUCUUACGGGUGGCGAGUGGCGGACGGGUGAGGAAUACAUCGGAAUCUACUUUUUCGUGGGGGAUAACGUAGGAAACUUACGCUAAUACCGCAUACGACCUACGGGUGAAAGCAGGGGAUCUUCGGACCUUGCGCGAUUGAAUGAGCCGAUGUCGGAUUAGCUAGUUGGCGGGGUAAAGGCCCACCAAGGCGACGAUCCGUAGCUGGUCUGAGAGGAUGAUCAGCCACACUGGAACUGAGACACGGUCCAGACUCCUACGGGAGGCAGCAGUGGGGAAUAUUGGACAAUGGGCGCAAGCCUGAUCCAGCCAUACCGCGUGGGUGAAGAAGGCCUUCGGGUUGUAAAGCCCUUUUGUUGGGAAAGAAAAGCAGCAGGUUAAUACCCCGCUGUUCUGACGGUACCCAAAGAAUAAGCACCGGCUAACUUCGU